AUCUCCAAUCGCGUAUAUUAAAGUUGUUGCAGUUAAAACGCUCGUCGUCGGAUUUCGGGGCGGGCCGACCGGUCUGCCGAUGGGUAUGCACUGGCCGGCGCGUCCUUCCACCCGGAGACCGCGCCUACUCUUAACUGAGCGGGCGCGGGAGACGGGUCUUUUACUUUGAAAAAAUCAGAGUGUUUCAAGCAGGCAGUCGCUCUUGCAUGGAUUAGCAUGGGAUAAUGAAAUAGGACUCUGGUGCUAUUUUGUUGGUGUCGAACACCGGAGUAAUGAUUAACAGGGACAGUCAGGGGCACUCGUAUUCCGCCGAGAGAGGUGAAAUGCUCAGACAAGCGGAAGACGAACCAAUGCGAAAGCAUUUGCAAGGGAGGUGU
rnacentral:rRNA from 1 species